CUAUCUUCAGUUUUUAAAUAUUUUUUCAUAUACUAUACAUUCCAACCACGAUUACGAUUAAAUUCGUGAUAGAAAAAUAAACCUCUCGAUGUACCAGUGCAUGAGGUACGACUGUCGCUCAAGUAAUAACCUACGUUUUAACGGUAGCCUGUUUUUUACACCUAGAUUCAUUUUACAUUGCAGAAUAGUACUUUCAACAUGGCAUCCGCAAAAUUUUCCGUUUUGAUACUAGCCUUCAUGAUCAUAUGCAGUUUGUACGCAUUAGCGGGUUCGUAAAUUUUGUUUUAAAUCACCUUUAUACUUCUCGUACAUAAUAUAAAUGUAACUGUUAUUUUCAAUGAUAUCUUCAUAGAAAGCCGUAAAUGCAUAGUAGGCGCAGAAUAUUUUGAUGGUUGUAAUCUAUGCACGCGUGACGGCAAUACGAAAGAAACCAAGAUAGACUGGAAGCCAACCAUUACAUGCCAGACUAAACAUCAGUGCAGCAGAUACCAUCGCAAAAAUCCUCCACCCCAUUUUUGGGACUAAUUAAAAAAAAAGGGAAAUUGUCAGAGACUCAAAAAAAUAAAGGAAUAAUUCGUGCAGAUAGGUCAAAAAAGCGCCGUCAAAGUAGGCUUAAAUUAUGUUACACGCUUUAUCGACGCGGCGUUUGUGAAAUCAAGUCUCGUGCAUAUAGCAUAAAAAAAGUUACAUUUUAAUAUUCUCAGAGAUGAAUUCAUAUAAUCGAAGAACCGCGUAUAAAUACUCGUUUUAGUGUCUCUUGCAGCUCAGUUGUUUGUUAAAAGUGGAGCACUUUGGAUAACUUAAGAUUCCAUUUAUAUUACAUUUUCGAAUAAUGACAAAGUUACGAUGCUCAUUGCUUUUUGUAGCACUGAUACUUUGCAUCUAUCAAGUGACAGCCUUUGAAUGGUCAGAUUUUGACAGCAAACAGUGUGUAUUGAACAAAUUUUAUUCUGAUGGUUGCAACGAGUGUGUAUGUGCCAAUAAUUUACAAAAUAACAAUGGUGCGUGGAGGCCAAUUAUUCAGUGCACCCGUAAAAUGUGUUACACUGAUGAAAAACCAUACACUCCAGUCGUCCCAUCUGAGGAUUUCUGGCAGUCAUAAUUCGCUUCAAAUAAAAAGUACUUCAUUCAUCAUUUUUGCAAUAUUUUAUAAAGAUAUAUUUUUUUUAAAAUGGCAUAAUACGAUUCAACUACAAUAUUAUUUUGAUUUUUCGAUUACAAUUUUGCCCUCUCCUUAACCCUUCUUGCUUUCCUCUCUCUUCAUACCAAUAAAAAUUUUCACAUAAAAAAAAUUCCUUCCCUAAAAAAGACAAGGUAAUUAAUUAAUCAUUCGAUUCGUUCUUCGAUUGGCCGUUUUCUUCAACGCGCAACUUCUGCGUAUGUUUGAAUUCAUAAUCUUGACAUUUUUAAUCAAAAUUUAAAGCUUACUUCUGUACCAAACAUUUUAAAAACACUGUUGCUAAGUCUAAAUUAAACUUGUUUUAAUGUAUGUACAUACAUACAUAUAGAUCACUAGAGCGAUAUUAAUUACUAGAACAAAACAGUUUUUGACUGGCACUUAUAAGUACCUCUCGAGUUGAAAGAAAUCUCCCAAAGGAGAGUCAGUUCAUCUCUCAGUCGACUUCAGCGCUCCGAGAAGACCUUUCUGGCCAAACUAUGUCGCCUGAGGAAGAUGAUCAGGAACGAUGCUGCUCCGAGCAUUUGGUAGUUGGUUUCUUGGUUGGGCUAGGGCUCCUGAAAAGCAUAUCCGUAUCACCCUUCGACCUUUUGUCAGCUCUGUUCCAGAGCUGAAAAGCAAUUGCAGGAGGCAUUCUGUUGUGCUUUCUAAAAACAUCAUCUGCCAUUGUAAAUGGAUCACAUGUAUUUCAUAUGAACUGCUUUUGUUGAUGACGCAUCUGCCUAAUGUACAUUUACAUGUCCUCGUCAUCAUCCCAAGUAAUAGAGCAGCAACCAUAAUUUAAUUUAAUUCGUUAUCGAAACAUGCCAAUGACGUGAUUAUUAUGCAACAUUUUCCUCUAGUAAGCAAUAAAGCUAUACUGGUUUUCCCUCCAAAUGUAAGAAAAAAAUUAUCUACUCGUAAGUAUACAAGCAGAUGUAAAUACGUAGAAUAUCUCUUAGAAUAUAUUUAUAUUCUGUAGAUAACACGCAACUAACAUCGCGCAGAAGUAUUCUCGAGGAAUCCACUACAAGUUAGUUACUCGUUGAAAGCAAUACACAGCAGAUCUUUUACGAGUUCUAUAAUUUUUACAAAAUGUCGCUGAAACUAUCAUACUCGUUUCUUUGCGUAAUGCACAUUUUCUGUAUUUAUAUCGUAACUGCUUACGAAUACUCAGAAUUUGUGGGUAAACAAUGUAUUGUGGGACGAACUUACAACGACGGUUGUAAUGAAUGUUUUUGUGCUCAUAAUGAGAAAGAUGACAAUGGCACAUGGAUUCCAGCUAUUGCCUGUAAUCAAAUGGAGUGUUAUGACGAGGAAGGAAAAGUAUACGUUUCUGUUGAUCCACCUGAAGAUUUUUGGCAAAAAUGAAUGUAGUAAAAAUAAUGUUUACUAGUUCAUACAUUUAUGUUUAGUUAAUGUAAUGUCAAAUGAUAAUAAUUUAAUAAAAUGAAAUUUUGUAAAAAAA
rnacentral:lncRNA from 1 species